UGACUUCAGGUACGGAGACGAACCGAGGA
rnacentral:sRNA from 1 species